rnacentral:rRNA from 1 species
CCCUUAGAUGUUCUGGGCCGCACGCGCGCUACACUGAUCAGUGCAACAAGCAUCCGUCCUUGGCCGACAGGCCCGGGCAAUCUUUGAACGCUGAUCGUGAUGGGGAUAGACUUUUGCAAUUUUUGGUCUUCAACGAGGAAUUCCUAGUAAACACAAGUCAUCAACUUGCAUUGAUUACGUCCCUGCCCUUUGUACACACCGCCCGUCGCACCUACCGAUUGAAUGGUCCGGUGAAGCCUCCGGAUUGGCGUGCACCCUCGGGUGCUGCCGAGAAGUUGGCUAAACCUUACCAUUUAGAGGAAGGUGAAGUCGUAACA